rnacentral:lncRNA from 10 species
GCAGGUAUAACAAGGUAAUCAUUUCCAAUAGUUGAGCUUCCAGAGAUUAUGUCACGAUGGUCUCUGUGGUCAGGGUUCAUGCAGGAGACUCACGUCACGUUGACUGUGCCCCAACAAUGCGUCACGAUGUUUUCUGAGAAGAGGGUCAAGGUAAAAAAGCAAUGUCACUUUGGCAUUGGGCCCAGCGAUAUGUCAUUGUCUCCCACGUGAGCAGACAUCAGGCAAGAGAAGAGAAUCACAUCCCCUUAGUUAUGAGCACAGACGUGUCACAAAGCCCCAGGUAGGUAGUGCCAAGGCAGGAGAAUAGUGUCACAUCACCUAGGUGCUGUGUCCAGUGAUAUGCCACAAUCCCAUCUGUCAGCUGGGACCCAAGAGAGUCAAAUCACUCAGGUGCUGGGAGAGGCAUAUGUCAUGGGAGAGGCAUAUGUCACAAUAACAUCUACAGAAGAUCCACGUAAAUUCACCAUUUCGUGGGUGUGCUGAAUCAUGGUGUGGGAGUCACCAACCUACCUGUGGACCAGAUCUAUGUGUGCAAGACAAUUUUCCAACUUUUGACUGCCUUCAGGUGUAGGAUUCAGAAACUCUACAGUGGGGUGUGAUGUCCCAGCUGAAGGGCUACUCAUGCACAGAAGGGUGGUUAUUGUAAUCAUCAUGGUUUCUGUUGUUUUUA